CCCAGACUCCUACGGGAGGCAGCAGUGGGGGAUAUUGCACAAUGGGGGAAACCCUGAUGCAGCGACGCCGCGUGGGCGAAGAAGUAUUUCGGUAUGUAAAGCCCUAUCAGCAGGGAAGAAGAAAUGACGGUACCUGACUAAGAAGCCCCGGCUAACUACGUGCCAGCAGCCGCGGUAAUACGUAGGGGGCAAGCGUUAUCCGGAUUUACUGGGUGUAAAGGGAGCGUAGACGGCGAAGAAAGUCUGAAGUGAAAGCCCGCGGCUCAACCGCGGAAUGGCUUUGGAAACUUUUUUGCUGGAGUACCGGAGAGGUAAGCGGAAUUCCUAGUGUAGCGGUGAAAUGCGUAGAUAUUAGGAGGAACACCAGUGGCGAAGGCGGCUUACUGGACGGUAACUGACGUUGAGGCUCGAAAGCGUGGGGAGCAAACAGGAUUAGAUACCCGAGUAA
rnacentral:rRNA from 1 species